GAUUCCUGAACUCUCUGUUAAUUCAAAGGACAACAGUAAGCUUAUAACACUUAAUGAUGGACAACUAACAUAUUUCACAGACCCAAAGAUUGAUGCAAGCAAUAAUAGCUUUAUGGAUUUUCUCUAAUUCUGUAAAAUGAUCGCCAGAUCAGUAAGGUUCAUUCAUCUGUGAGGAUGCUUGUUGAUUAGUUAAGGCACAAAUCUGGGUUUGGCUUGUGAUUUAUAUCAGCAUGAAUGCAAUCAUAUUAGUCAUUUGUUUCGGCAUUGCGCUUUUGAUUGGCCCUUCUGGUUUGGAGUAUUUAUGGAUUGAUUCUGUUGGGACACUCCCGUUAUGGGCCCUAAUCAUGGAGCUCUUGGCUGUGCUGCAUCACUGGCUUGGAUAUGAUGAAGGGUUUGUUCACUUGUUUGCUGCAGUGACAAGGGGCCCUAUUCAAAGUGCCGCAAGCAGCAUGGAAUCAGAAUAGAUUACUAGUUCACUACUCGGGAAGAGAAAAUCUACAGGUAUUUUCAAGUUUCCAAUAGCAGGUGGAACCGUGGAAGUGGAGCCUCUUCUUAUAGCAUUGAUGUUAUUGGCAGGUGUUUUAGGUUUCCAAUGCUAUCUCUCAUGCAUGCUGUAGUCUGUAGAUGAUAAUCUAGACCAAAAACAAGGUCUUUUCGACUGAGUUUUACUUCUGAAAAUAGAUCUUGAAAAGUGGCACUGGCAGCUAUAUGAUAUCAGAGCAGCAUUCCACAGGAGGAAAAUAAGUGUAUUAACUUCCUGAUUUCGUCUGAAGACAUGCUCCAGAUGUGUUUUGUUGUAUCAGAGCAGCAUUCCACAGGAGGAAAAUAAGUGUAUUAAGUUUUGUAUUUGCUAAAUUUAUUUACUAAAAUGUAUUUGCUAGAUUUAUUUUCAAAUGACCAGUCCGAACUCUGAAUCA